rnacentral:rRNA from 1 species
ACACUAUCAUUAACUGAAUCCAUAGGUUAAUGAGGCGAACCGGGGGAACUGAAACAUCUAAGUACCCCGAGGAAAAGAAAUCAACCGAGAUUCCCCCAGUAGCGGCGAGCGAACGGGGAGGAGCCCAGAGCCUGAAUCAGUGUGUGUGUUAGUGGAAGCGUCUGGAAAGGCGCGCGAUACAGGGUGACAGCCCCGUACACAAAAAUGCACAUGCUGUGAGCUCGAUGAGUAGGGCGGGACACGUGGUAUCCUGUCUGAAUAUGGGGGGACCAUCCUCCAAGGCUAAAUACUCCUGACUGACCGAUAGUGAACCAGUACCGUGAGGGAAAGGCGAAAAGAACCCCGGCGAGGGGAGUGAAAAAGAACCUGAAACCGUGUACGUACAAGCAGUGGGAGCACAGAGCAAUCUGUGUGACUGCGUACCUUUUGUAUAAUGGGUCAGCGACUUAUAUUCUGUAGCAAGGUUAACCGAAUAGGGGAGCCGAAGGGAAACCGAGUCUUAACUGGGCGUUAAGUUGCAGGGUAUAGACCCGAAACCCGGUGAUCUAGCCAUGGGCAGGUUGAAGGUUGGGUAACACUAACUGGAGGACCGAACCGACUAAUGUUGAAAAAUUAGCGGAUGACUUGUGGCUGGGGGUGAAAGGCCAAUCAAACCGGGAGAUAGCUGGUUCUCCCCGAAAGCUAUUUAGGUAGCGCCUCGUGAAUUCAUCUCCGGGGGUAGAGCACUGUUUCGGCAAGGGGGUCAUCCCGACUUACCAACCCGAUGCAAACUGCGAAUACCGGAGAAUGUUAUCACGGGAGACACACGGCGGGUGCUAACGUCCGUCGUGAAGAGGGAAACAACCCAGACCGCCAGCUAAGGUCCCAAAGUCAUGGUUAAGUGGGAAACGAUGUGGGAAGGCCCAGACAGCCAGGAUGUUGGCUUAGAAGCAGCCAUCAUUUAAAGAAAGCGUAAUAGCUCACUGGUCGAGUCGGCCUGCGCGGAAGAUGUAACGGGGCUAAACCAUGCACCGAAGCUGCGGCAGCGACGCUGAUGCGUUGUUGGGUAGGGGAGCGUUCUGUAAGCCUGUGAAGGUGUGCUGUGAGGCAUGCUGGAGGUAUCAGAAGUGCGAAUGCUGACAUAAGUAACGAUAAAGCGGGUGAAAAGCCCGCUCGCCGGAAGACCAAGGGUUCCUGUCCAACGUUAAUCGGGGCAGGGUGAGUCGACCCCUAAGGCGAGGCCGAAAGGCGUAGUCGAUGGGAAACAGGUUAAUAUUCCUGUACUUGGUGUUACUGCGAAGGGGGGACGGAGAAGGCUAUGUUGGCCGGGCGACGGUUGUCCCGGUUUAAGCGUGUAGGCUGGUUUUCCAGGCAAAUCCGGAAAACUAAGGCUGAGGCGUGAUGACGAGGCACUACGGUGCUGAAGCAACAAAUGCCCUGCUUCCAGGAAAAGCCUCUAAGCAUCAGGUAACAUCAAAUCGUACCCCAAACCGACACAGGUGGUCAGGUAGAGAAUACCAAGGCGCUUGAGAGAACUCGGGUGAAGGAACUAGGCAAAAUGGUGCCGUAACUUCGGGAGAAGGCACGCUGAUAUGUAGGUGAAGUCCCUCGCGGAUGGAGCUGAAAUCAGUCGAAGAUACCAGCUGGCUGCAACUGUUUAUUAAAAACACAGCACUGUGCAAACACGAAAGUGGACGUAUACGGUGUGACGCCUGCCCGGUGCCGGAAGGUUAAUUGAUGGGGUCAGCGCAAGCGAAGCUCUUGAUCGAAGCCCCGGUAAACGGCGGCCGUAACUAUAACGGUCCUAAGGUAGCGAAAUUCCUUGUCGGGUAAGUUCCGACCUGCACGAAUGGCGUAAUGAUGGCCAGGCUGUCUCCACCCGAGACUCAGUGAAAUUGAACUCGCUGUGAAGAUGCAGUGUACCCGCGGCAAGACGGAAAGACCCCGUGAACCUUUACUAUAGCUUGACACUGAACAUUGAGCCUUGAUGUGUAGGAUAGGUGGGAGGCUUUGAAGUGUGGACGCCAGUCUGCAUGGAGCCGACCUUGAAAUACCACCCUUUAAUGUUUGAUGUUCUAACGUUGACCCGUAAUCCGGGUUGCGGACAGUGUCUGGUGGGUAGUUUGACUGGGGCGGUCUCCUCCUAAAGAGUAACGGAGGAGCACGAAGGUUGGCUAAUCCUGGUCGGACAUCAGGAGGUUAGUGCAAUGGCAUAAGCCAGCUUGACUGCGAGCGUGACGGCGCGAGCAGGUGCGAAAGCAGGUCAUAGUGAUCCGGUGGUUCUGAAUGGAAGGGCCAUCGCUCAACGGAUAAAAGGUACUCCGGGGAUAACAGGCUGAUACCGCCCAAGAGUUCAUAUCGACGGCGGUGUUUGGCACCUCGAUGUCGGCUCAUCACAUCCUGGGGCUGAAGUAGGUCCCAAGGGUAUGGCUGUUCGCCAUUUAAAGUGGUACGCGAGCUGGGUUUAGAACGUCGUGAGACAGUUCGGUCCCUAUCUGCCGUGGGCGCUGGAGAACUGAGGGGGGCUGCUCCUAGUACGAGAGGACCGGAGUGGACGCAUCACUGGUGUUCGGGUUGUCAUGCCAAUGGCACUGCCCGGUAGCUAAAUGCGGAAGAGAUAAGUGCUGAAAGCAUCUAAGCACGAAACUUGCCCCGAGAUGAGUUCUCCCUGACUCCUUGAGAGUCCUGAAGGAACGUUGAAGACGACGACGUUGAUAGGCCGGGUGUGUAAGCGCAGCGAUGCGUUGAGCUAACCGGUACUAAUGAACCGUGAGGCUUAACCUUACAACGCCGAAGCUGUU